rnacentral:rRNA from 1 species
GGCUCAGGACGAACGCUGGCGGCGUGCUUAACACAUGCAAGUCGAACGGUGAUGACCAGCUUGCUGGUCGGAUCAGUGGCGAACGGGUGAGUAACACGUGAGUAACCUGCCCCAGACUCUGGGAUAAGCCUUGGAAACGAGGUCUAAUACUGGAUAUGAGAUGCCCCUGCAUGGGGAGUGUCUGGAAAGAUUUAUCGGUCUGGGAUGGACUCGCGGCCUAUCAGCUUGUUGGUGGGGUAAUGGCCUACCAAGGCGACGACGGGUAGCCGGCCUGAGAGGGCGACCGGCCACACUGGGACUGAGACACGGCCCAGACUCCUACGGGAGGCAGCAGUGGGGAAUAUUGCACAAUGGGCGCAAGCCUGAUGCAGCGACGCCGCGUGAGGGAUGAAGGCCUUCGGGUUGUAAACCUCUUUCAGCAGGGAAGAAGCGCAAGUGACGGUACCUGCAGAAGAAGCGCCGGCUAACUACGUGCCAGCAGCCGCGGUAAUACGUAGGGCGCAAGCGUUGUCCGGAAUUAUUGGGCGUAAAGAGCUCGUAGGCGGUUUGUCGCGUCUGGUGUGAAAACUCAAGGCUCAACCUUGAGCUUGCAUCGGGUACGGGCAGACUAGAGUGCGGUAGGGGUGACUGGAAUUCCUGGUGUAGCGGUGGAAUGCGCAGAUAUCAGGAGGAACACCGAUGGCGAAGGCAGGUCACUGGGCCGCAACUGACGCUGAGGAGCGAAAGCAUGGGGAGCGAACAGGAUUAGAUACCCUGGUAGUCCAUGCCGUAAACGUUGGGCACUAGGUGUGGGGCUCAUUCCACGAGUUCCGUGCCGCAGCAAACGCAUUAAG